rnacentral:tmRNA from 1 species
GGGGGUGACUGGCUUCGACAGGUGCUGGUCGAUCCCGAAAGAGCGAGCCGAGUACGUCACGUCAUCUCGCAAAACUGUCGUGGCAAACCAAUAAGUGCCAACGAACCUGUUGCACUGGCGGCUUAACUAGCCACCCGUCCGCCCUCAUUCGCCUGAGGUGAGGGGUCGGGCGUCGCUAUCAGGCUCCACCUGCCGGCCUUUCGCCGCGGGCCGGUGGGGACAUCUUCGCGGCGUACGGCUGCCGAGGGGUCUGGACCCGGGACCAGGCGGCCCGACAAUGCGCCGGGUCCUACGCUCGUAGCGCUUUCGGAGUCGAGGCAUCUGGACCGGGGUUCGAUUCCCCGCACCUCCACCA